UUUGAUCCUGGCUCAGAACGAACGCUGGCGGCGUGGAUUAGGCAUGCAAGUCGAACGUGAAGGAGGCUUCGGCCUCUGGAAAGUGGCAAACGGGUGAGUAACGCGUGGAGAACCUUCCCUGAAGUGGGGGAUAACACUCCUAACGGAGUGCUAAUACCGCAUGUGUCUGCGGGGUCGCAUGGCUCUGCAGGUAAAGGUGGCCUCUAUUUAUAAGCUACCGCUUCUGGAUGGCUCUGCGUCCCAUUAGCUUGUUGGCGAGGUUACGGCUCACCAAGGCGACGAUGGGUAGCUGGUCUGAGAGGAUGGUCAGCCACACUGGGACUGAGAUACGGCCCAGACUCCUACGGGAGGCAGCAGUCGAGAGGCUUCGGCAAUGGGGGCAACCCUGACCGAGCGACGCCGCGUGGGCGAUGAAGGUCUUCGGAUCGUAAAGCCCUUUCAGGUGGGAAGAAAGGUGGGCGGGUGAACAAUCCGCUCGCUGUGACGGUACCGCCAGAAGAAGCUCCGGCUAACUCCGUGCCA
rnacentral:rRNA from 1 species